GACAGAGGGUGCAAACGUUGUUCGGAAUUACUGGGCGUAAAGCGAGUGUAGGCGGUCUGAAAAGUCAGGUGUGAAAGCCCCGGGCUCAACCCGGGAAGUGCACUUGAAACUGCCAGGCUAGAGUAUCGGAGAGGUUGGUGGAAUUCUCGGUGUAGAGGUGAAAUUCGUAGAUAUCGAGAGGAACACCGGCGGCGAAGGCGGCCAACUGGACGAAUACUGACGCUGAGACUCGAAAGCGUGGGGAGCAAACAGG
rnacentral:rRNA from 1 species